CAGCCGCCGCGGUAAUACAGAGGGUGCGAGCGUUAAUCGGAUUUACUGGGCGUAAAGCGUGCGUAGGCGGCUUCUUAAGUCGGAUGUGAAAUCCCUGAGCUUAACUUAGGAAUUGCAUUCGAUACUGGGAAGCUAGAGUAUGGGAGAGGAUGGUAGAAUUCCAGGUGUAGCGGUGAAAUGCGUAGAGAUCUGGAGGAAUACCGAUGGCGAAGGCAGCCAUCUGGCCUAAUACUGACGCUGAGGUACGAAAGCAUGGGGAGCAAACAGGAUUAGAUACCCCCGUAGUCACUGUCUCUUAUAC
rnacentral:rRNA from 1 species